rnacentral:rRNA from 1 species
AUCUUAGUCCGGCAAUUGGAAUGAGAGUAAUUUAAACCAAUACUCGAGUAGCCAUUGGAGGGCAAGUCUGGUGCCAGCAGCCUCGGUAAUUCCAGCUCCAAUAGCGUAUAUUAAAGUUGUUGCAGUCAAAAAGCUCGUAGUCUGAAUCUUGGCUCUGCGUUGAGCGUCCGUGGCCUUCUUGGCUACGCGUACGCGAUACGUGAGCCAUGUACUUCGGAGGAACACAUGUACUUUUAACUAAGUGCGUGUGGGAUUCCGAUAGUUUACUUUGAGAAAAAUAGAGUGUUCAAAGCAGGCGUUUUGCCUUGAAUACAUUAGCAUGGGAUAAUGAAAUAGGACAUUGGUUCUAUUUUGAUGGUUUAAGGACCGAUGUAAUGAUUAAUAGGGACAGUUGGGGACAUUCAUAUUCCAUGGCUAGAGGUGAAAUUCUUGGAUUCAUGGAGGAUGAACGACUGCGAAAGCAUUUGUCAAAGAUGUUUUCAUUGAUCAAGAACGAAAGUUAGGGGAGCAAAGACGAUUAGAUACCGUCGUAGUCUUAACCAUAAACGAUGCCGACUAGGGAUCGGUGGGAGUUAGUUUGAUGACUCCAUCGGCACCUCAUGGGAAACCAAAGUCUUUGGGUUCCGGGGGGAGUAUGGUCGCAAGGCUGAAACUUAAAGGAAUUGACGGAAGGGCACCACCAGGAGUGGAGCCUGCGGCUUAAUUUGACCCAACACGGGGAAACUCACCAGGUCCAGACAUGGUAAGGAUUGACAGAUUGAGAGCUCUUUCUUGAUUCCAUGAAAGGUGGCGCAUGGCCGUUCUUAGUUGGUGGAGUGAUUUGUCUGGUUAAUUCCGUUAACGAACGAGACCUUGACCUGCUAACUAGUCCCAGUAAGCUUCGCUUGCUGGCUGACUUCUUAGAGGGACAAUCUGUAUCCAGCAGAUGGAAGUUUGAGGCAAUAACAGGUCUGUGAUGCCCUUAGAUGUCCUGGGCUGCACGCGCGCUACACUGACGAGCUCAGCGAGUUUAUCACCUUGGCAGAGAUGUCUGGGUAAUCUUGUUAAAGCUCGUCGUGAUGGGGAUAGAUGAUUGUAAUUAUUCGUCUUGAACGAGGAAUUCCUAGUAAGUGUGAGUCAUCAGCUCGCGCUGAUUACGUCCCUGCCCUUUGUACACACCGCCCGUCGCUCCUACCGAUUGAAUGGUCCGGUGAGAACGUCGGAUCACGCGAGGUCCGCUGGUUUUCCAACA